CCGCACAUGUGUGGCUGGUCAUCAGGCCCGCUCCCGGGAGGCGGGAACGGCGGUUGCCGACGUCGCCGCCGGCAGGCUCCACUUCUGCUGCUCGGA
rnacentral:tRNA from 1 species